UAAUUAAAUUUCCCGCGGCGCACCUUGCUAUCCACGCAUCCUUCACCCCACUACCUGUGCCAGCCUGACCACGUGAAUACCUUAGCCAGUCCGAAGUGGACGUGAAGGCGUUUAUUUAACGUUUAUAUAGCAAAGAAAUUAACUUAACUUUUUUCUUAAGCGAGUGAGUGUGUUUGUGGCGUCAUCUCCUGUACUGAGUAGAGGACGAGGCGGUAGAAGACUGAAGGAAGGAAGGAAGGAAGGAAGGCAGGAAGACGAGGAAGUAGCAAGUAAGAGUGAGACCCUCCAGGUGACCUAAGCACGUGACCUCCAGCACUUGCCCCUCGUGACCCCUGACCCGACACCCACCAUCGCCAUAACGCGCAGGAAGGUUUGGCCUCGAGAUCGUUAUUGGCACGGUUGUUGGCCAGCGAGUGGUAAUACAGGAACAUGCGGGAUGUGAUGUAAAAGGCAAUGAACACAUCAAUGGAAUAGUGUUCGUGAGCUGCCAAGAUGAAGAAAAUCCCAAACAUGUUCAGCACCCAGGAGAAAAUGUGCAAGUAGUACACUCUCCUUGGUGUAUCUUAUUAAGAUGCAUGAAGACUACAGAAAAAAAUUCAGCUAUGAAGACAGUUGACAUGGUUAGAAAUUUUGAAAACACUGACCUGUGUUUGUGGAAGAACAGAAUUCCAAACCAAACAGAAGCAAGUGUGAUGAUGGUUAUCUCACAUAGCUGGAAUGCCCAUGAGAUGUGAGGAACAUUGUCCAGGAAAAUGUCUGGUAGAGGUGGAUGUCUUUCCUGUCAAAUAGUAAUGAGGUUGAUUUGACAAUUUUUCAAAUAAAACAUUAGAUAUCAA